UCUAGCUAGAUUUGUAUAAGUUCUAGAUUAAUCUAGCUAGAUUUGUAUAAGUUCUAGAUUAAUCUAGAUAACUAGAUUAUCAAUGUGCACUGUUUUAACAGAUUUCUUGUAGCGGAGUCUAUUCUUUGGGGAAGAGAAUUGUUAUUGUUAAUCUGGAGUUGCGGGUGGUAAUUCGAUCCAUAUUCAUAUUGAUCGAUGGGUGCCUCGACCAAUGAAUUUCAAACUAUUUAUUUCACAAUGUUUGCCUCAUGAUGCUACUGUAAGUAAGUUGUUAACUUAUACGGGGGAGUUGGGACGUGGCAAAGGUUCGUCAAAAUUUUUUACCCAUUGAUGCAGAUGUCAUGCAUGCUCUCUGUCCCGGUUUGUGGUACCAGCUAUACAAGUUUAUGAGUUGGAGUUGGGAGAGGCAAGUAGUGCAAGUUUCACUUUGUCUGAUGGUAUCUGGAAACAAAUUUGGCAUCUCCAAGUUCCAAAUAAAAUUUGACACUUCUUGUGGUGUGCUAUUCAGUAUUCAAGAUGUGACUCCAUGUGCGUUCAACUUAUACCAGCGGAGAAUUUCCCGAUCUCCUAUGUGUUUUCGCUGUGGAAAACAAAUGGAAUCUCUGGUUCAUGCAAUCUGGGAAUGUAAACACUAAAUCAGUAAAGCAGUAUGGUCUAUUUCUUUCAUGAAUCAUCUACAAGGAUUGCAUUAGUUUUCUUUCGCUGAUCUUUUUUCUCAAGCAAUGCAAACGCUGCCAGUGGAUGAUUUGGAGCGGUUUAGCUAUAUUUGUCGGUAUUUAUAGGGUGUGAGGAAUGAUAUGCUGCAGGAAAGAAAGGUCGGCGAAUCUGUUUCACUGUUGGAGCGUUGUUUGGAAUUGCCUCAGGAGUUCAAGGUGGCAAACAUGACAAGAGCUAGGCAUCAAAGGACACAGGGGAGUCCACCUGAAGUGGGGUUUUAGAAGUUGAAUGUAGAUGGGGGAGUAAGAGAAAAUGAGGAUAGAAGGGGUAUGUAUCCGCUUUGUGGUACGUAAUAAUUAGUUGGGAAAAUUAAUGGGUGCUGGUGCUAAAUUAACAUUUGGCCUUUUCUUACCUUUGGUUACGGAGUUGAUUGCAAUGAAGGAAGGAUUGAAGUUUGCAAUUGAUGCACAGAUUCUGCCAGUACGUAAUAUUUGAAAGUGAUUGGUUGGAGGCAAUUAAUCUAAUCUGAUAAAUGAUAAUAAUGAAUGUUCGGAAUUGGUUGGUGGUUUUUUUGAGGAGGUGAAAACGUUGGUUUGUGUAGUGGGAGGGAUUAAAGUUUUAUUCCAACAUGGGGCAAGCAAUAAUGUGGCACAUAAUUUAGCUCAAUCAGGUCCUAAAUGGUAAGGAUUGUUUUCAUUGUUUGGAAGAAGGCCCUCCAUGGCUUAUGGAUUUACUUAUGUAUGAUUCUCAUUUAAUUUGUUGUA